AGGACGAACGCUGGCGGCGUGCCUAACACAUGCAAGUCGAGCGGAGUUAACAAGAGGAAGUUUCGGAUGGAAUUUGUAAUUAGCGGCGGACGGGUGAGUAACGCGUGAGCGACCAACCUUGCACAGGGGGAUAACGGACCGAAAGGUUCACUAAUACCGCAUGAGACCACGGUGUUGCAUGACACAGAGGUCAAAGGAGCAAUCCGGUGCAAGACGGGCUCGCGUCCGAUUAGGUAGUUGGUGGGGUAAUGGCCCACCAAGCCUAUGAUCGGUAGCCGACCUGAGAGGGUGAUCGGCCACAUUGGAACUGAGAUACGGUCCAAACUCCUACGGGAGGCAGCAGUGGGGAAUAUUGGGCCAAUGGGGGAAACCCUGACCCAGCAACGCCGCGUGAAGGAAGAAGGUUUUCGGAUUGUAAACUUCUGUCCUUGGUGAAGAGAAGAAGACGGUAGCCAAGGAGGAAGCCCCGGCUAACUACGUGCCAGCCGCCGC
rnacentral:rRNA from 1 species